rnacentral:rRNA from 1 species
CGUGUAGGCGGUCAGGUAAGUGGAAUGUGAAAUGCCCCGGCUCACCCGGGGACCGGCAUCCCAAACUGCCUGGCUUGAGUAUGGGAGAGGAUGGAGGAAUUCCUGGUGUAGCGGUGAAAUGCGUAGAUAUCAGGAGGAACACCGGUGGCGAAGGCGUCCAUCCGGCCCAAUACUGACGCUGAGGCGCGAAAGCUAGGGGGAGCAAACG